GAUGAACGCUAGCUACAGGCUUAACACAUGCAAGUCGAGGGGCAGCAUGGUCUUAGCUUGCUAAGGCCGAUGGCGACCGGAGCACGGGUGAGUAACACGUAUCCAACCUGCCGUCUACUCUUGGACAGCCUUCUGAAAGGAAGAUUAAUACAAGAUGGCAUCAUGAGUCCGCAUGUUCACAUGAUUAAAGGUAUUCCGGUAGACGAUGGGGAUGCGUUCCAUUAGAUAGUAGGCGGGGUAACGGCCCACCUAGUCUUCGAUGGAUAGGGGUUCUGAGAGGAAGGUCCCCCACAUUGGAACUGAGACACGGUCCAAACUCCUACGGGAGGCAGCAGUGAGGAAUAUUGGUCAAUGGGCGCAGGCCUGAACCAGCCAAGUAGCGUGAAGGAUGACUGCCCUAUGGGUUGUAAACUUCUUUUAUAAAGGAAUAAAGUCGGGUAUGUAUACCCGUUUGCAUGUACUUUAUGAAUAAGGAUCGGCUAACUCCGUG
rnacentral:rRNA from 1 species